rnacentral:rRNA from 1 species
GGGGCCCGCACAAGCGGUGGAGCAUGUGGUUUAAUUCGAUGCAACGCGAAGAACCUUACCUACUCUUGACAUCCAGAGAACUUUCCAGAGAUGGAUUGGUGCCUUCGGGAACUCUGAGACAGGUGCUGCAUGGCUGUCGUCAGCUCGUGUUGUGAAAUGUUGGGUUAAGUCCCGCAACGAGCGCAACCCUUAUCCUUGUUUGCCAGCGAGUAAUGUCGGGAACUCCAGGGAGACUGCCGGUGAUAAACCGGAGGAAGGUGGGGACGACGUCAAGUCAUCAUGGCCCUUACGAGUAGGGCUACACACGUGCUACAAUGGCGCAUACAGAGGGCAGCCAACUUGCGAAAGUG